GUGUAUUACAUUAGUGCUUGCUAUUCAAAUCCUUGCAACUUUUUAGACUUGUACAUUGCAGACCAUCUAAAUAACUCAGCAAAAGCAAAACCUGCCUUGAGGCACUCUGUCCUCAGGUGAAUUUAAAUUUUGAAAAGGGGAGAUUAUUCUGACACAGUUUAAAGGCUUUUCUCCAAAAUCUGUCACAGGUAACAACUGUGUCCAGGCAGAAGUUCAUUCCUUCCACUAUGACAAAGAAGACAGACCAAAGAGAUCCAGUUCACACACUGAGCAUGCCUUGACUUCACUCAAAAAAGAACUGAAUUACAGGCACGGUCUUCGACAAGUGUUCUGAGAGGAGCAUGCAUAAGAUGCUAAGGAAACACAGAGGAAAAUCAUCUGAAAAAAGAAUAUAUGGUCAAGAAAGGUAAAAACUCUAACAAGCUUCCUAGAGGAGUGACUCUUCAGCCACGUUCUAAAGGAUGAAUAGGAGGUAACUAUAUGAAUAGAACCAGAACACCACUCCGGAGAAGGAAGAGUUUGGGGCAAGUCUCCAAAGCCAGAGGUUCCAUGACGCACAUUGAAGGAGACUUGGUGUAAGGAGAGGAAAAGACACUGCCUGUGCAAAAUGGCACUGGAGAGCUGGGUAGUGUAUGGAAGGAAGAAUGAAGAUGAAGACCCACGCUUCAUAGGACUCAGCCUGCCAGCUGACUGUGUACUGUAAUGCACCAGUAUUAAAAACGAAUAUCUUUUAGUCACCUUCCAUGAGCUCCUUUGGAUAACAGUAUUGCCUCCAGAAACCCAUUGAAUGUGUUGCCCACCGAGAUCACCCAACAUCACAUUUGCAUGGAUGAGUUCGUUAGAGUAAAAGUGAUCAGGGCAGAGAGCUAGUGGGGUCAGACAGGGCCCAGGAAGAUCCUAAUGGUGGGGAACAUGGUCCUGGGGUGUAAGUCUAAAAUAUAGACCUGAACCCUAACUUAGUAAAGUUCUAAAUGGGAUAGCUCAGUUUAGGUGUGCAGAAAAGAGAGCAUCCACCAAAACAAAAUUUUUUUUUAAUUUUUAUUUAUUUAUUUAUUUGAGAGAAAGAGACAGAAAGAGCGACAGAGAGCACAAGUAGGGAGGAGAGGAAGAAGCAGGCUCCCUACUGAGCGGGAAGCCUGACUCAGGGCUUGAUCCCAGGAACCUGGGAUCACGACCUGAGCCGAAGGCAGACGCUCAACCAUCUGGGCCACCCAGGCGCCCCUCACCAAAAAAUGUUUUAAUAAAUUUAAAUAAAUAAAAAUAUUAGAUCA
rnacentral:lncRNA from 1 species